UACAGAGGCCUCGAGCGUUAGGCGGAAUCACUGGGCUUAAAGCGUGUGUAGGCGGACUUCUAAGUACCUUGUGAAAUCCCACGGCUUACCCGUGGAACUGCUCGGUAUACUGGUUGUCUUGAGCCACCUAGGGGCGAGUGGAACAAAUGGUGGAGCGGUGAAAUGCGUAGAUAUCAUUUGGAACGCCAAUGGUGAAAACAACUCGCUGGGGGUGUGCUGACGCUGAGACACGAAAGCCAGGGGAGCGAACGGG
rnacentral:rRNA from 1 species